rnacentral:tRNA from 1 species
GAUAAUAUAACUCAAUUGGCAGAGUGUGGAGCGUACGCAAUUCUUAAAAACCAGGACACGAGAGUUACAGGUUCGAAUCCUGUUAUUAUCUA